UACGAAGGGGGCGAGCGUUGUUCGGAUUUACUGGGCGUAAAGGGCGCGUAGGCGGUGCGGUAAGUCACCUGUGAAAUCUCCUGGCUCAACUGGGAGCUUGCAGGCGAAACUGCCGUGCUGGAGUGUGGGAGAGGUGCGUGGAAUUCCUGGUGUAGCGGUGAAAUGCGUAGAUAUCAGGAGGAACACCUGUGGCGAAAGCGGCGCACUGGACCACAACUGACGCUGAGGCGCGAAAGCUAGGGGAGCAAACAGG
rnacentral:rRNA from 1 species